rnacentral:rRNA from 1 species
AUGAACGCUGGCGGCGUGCCUAAUACAUGCCAGUCGAGCGAACAGACGAGGAGCUUGCUCCUCUGACGUUAGCGGCGGACGGGUGAGUAACACGUGGAUAACCUACCUAUAAGACUGGGAUAACUUCGGGAAACCGGAGCUAAUACCGGAUAAUAUAUUGAACCGCAUGGUUCAAUAGUGAAAGACGGUUUUGCUGUCACUUAUAGAUGGAUCCGCGCCGCAUUAGCUAGUUGGUAAGGUAACGGCUUACCAAGGCAACGAUGCGUAGCCGACCUGAGAGGGUGAUCGGCCACCCGGGAACUGAGACACGGUCCCGACUCCUACGGGAGGCAGCAGUAGGGAAUCUUCCGCAAUGGGCGAAAGCCUGACGGAGCAACGCCGCGUGAGUGAUGAAGGUCUUCGGAUCGUAAAACUCUGUUAUUAGGGAAGAACAAAUGUGUAAGUAACUAUGCACGUCUUGACGGUACCUAAUCAGAAAGCCACGGCUAACUACGUG